rnacentral:rRNA from 1 species
GUAGGGAAUAUUGCGCAAUGGACGAAAGUCUGACGCAGCGACGCCGCGUGAGUGAUGAAGGCCUUAGGGUCGUAAAGCUCUGUUGAAUGGGAAGAAAAAAAUGACGGUACCAUUCGAGGAAGGACCGGCUAACUUCGUGCCAGCAGCCGCGGUAAUACGAGGGGUCCUAGCGUUGUUCGGAAUCAUUGGGCGUAAAGGGUGUGUAGGUGGCCAUGUAAGUCAGGUGUGAAAGCCCCGGGCUCAACCCGGGAAGUGCACUUGAUACUGCGUGGCUUGAGUACCGAAGAGGGUAGUGGAAUUCCAGGUGUAGUGGUGAAAUACGUAGAUAUCUGGAGGAACACCGGUGGCGAAGGCGGCUACCUGGUCGAGUACUGACACUGAGACACGAAAGCAUGGGUAUCAAACAGGAUUAGAUACCCCUGUAGUCC